ACUGAGGUUGUUUAUCUGUGAUUGCUUUGUUGGCUGUUGACAUUUCCUUUUCUGAGUAUUGUCUGUUUAUAUCCAUGGCUUAUUUGUCUCCAAAGUGGUUUGUCCAUUUUAAAUGAUAUGCAGCUACUCUAUUUUUAAUAUGGAAAUUUUUAGAUGCAAAAGCAGAGAGAAUAUAAGUAUUCUUUAUACAUUAUGGAUAUUUACUUUUGGACAGCUAUGUCACAAAUAUUUUCUCCCUAUAUUGUAAGCUAAUUUUUCCUGUAAGCUAACUUAUGGCAUCCCUUGAUGUAUGCAUAAAAUAUAUUGUUAUAGUGUCCAAUCUGCUUGUCUUUUCCUGUGCAGCUUUUAGGCAUCAUGCUCACUCAGAAAAGUGUGUCCUCUUUCUAACUGCAGUCUCUCUGUGUUGUCCUGAGGGAAUGCUCUGCUAUUCUUCCUUGACUCUCUAGGAGGUGAAUAGUAGCAGCCUUAGUGAUAGCAGGAACCACAUUUGUGGGGCACUUACUUUGUGCUGGCUAUUGUACUAAGCAAUUUCACAUGUGUUAUAAAUUCCGUGAAGAAGCUGGUACUAUCCUUCCCAUUUUACAGAUGAGGAAACUGAGGCACAGAGAGGUUAAAGAACUUGCCCCAGAUCUCACAGCAACAAGUUUUUCACUUUUGAGGAUGAAUUAGAUUUGUUGAGAAAGCACAAAGUUAUUCCAAGGAAAUGUUUCCUGGAGCUUGGUAACCCUAAUGAGUUUUAUUGUUUAUAGUCACUGAUAGAUUUUGAUCCUGAGAUAAUCAUGCUGAUUUGUGUGUGUUUCUCAUCAGUUGGCAAUGAAGACAGUGCAGGAGUUCUGAAAAUGUUUAGAGCAAUAACUGCUAACACUGGAACAAGCCUCCCCAGUUAAUCAUAACUAACCAGUCAUAAUAUUGACGGUGGGAGCAGGAAGGAAAGUAUAGAGAACAAAAACUCCUGGUUGAGAGGACACCACAAUUAACUAUGUUAUUGGAGGCUAAGCUGUCCUCACCUUUUGGGGACUCAUAACUGAUAUGAACCAAUUAGUGGCCCAGCGGGUGGUGGAAAGAGGGGAGCCAAACCUUGGAGAUGAGCCUUCAGGAUGGGAGCUGGAGGGAGGCUAUUGGAGAGGAUGUGGUUUUCUAUCUUCCUGUGUGAGUAGGGAAGGGUGUUGGUACUUCUCCACCAGCCAUGGGAACCAGUGGCAAAUGGGAAAGCCUAACUAUGAACCUGAGCGGGGUGGGUGAGCCCAUCUUCCUCCAUUUUGACAGGAAGGAUGCUGAUAUUUUGGAUGCCGAGUUCCAGGGCAGUGUUUUGCUCUCUGGUCUGUCUCAUGCCUUGUCCACAGGGCUGCAUUGCCAAGGCUUGGGGAUUUCAUUCCUUCCUUAGCCUCAGGAUCUGCAGCAGAAAGAACAGAGUAAGCCCUAGCUCUGUCUUUCUUGAAAGUAGUUGGCAGUGCACAAUCAGUU
rnacentral:lncRNA from 1 species